UACGGAGGGUGCAAACGUUGCUCGGAAUUAUUGGGCGUAAAGCGCGCGUAGGCGGUUACUUAAGUCGGAUGUGAAAGCCCUCGGCUUAACUGAGGAAGUGCACCCGAAACUGAGUAGCUAGAGUACGAAAGAGGGUCGCGGAAUUCCCGGUGUAGAGGUGAAAUUCGUAGAUAUCGGGAGGAACACCGGUGGCGAAGGCGGCGACCUGGGUCGAGACUGACGCUGAGGCGCGAAAGCGUGGGGAGCAAGCAGG
rnacentral:rRNA from 1 species